AUCCAACUGACAAGUCCCAAAUAGGACGAAACGCAUGUCAAACUGGAU
rnacentral:hammerhead_ribozyme from 1 species